UUGCCGGAACCUUCGGUAAAACCGCGACGGAGUGAAAUAAGAGCUGCACGUCACGCGUCGCGUCGCGGUGGUGUUCCGCUGUAAUCAGUUUUAACGCUGUUGUGUCACUCACGCGGAGACGCUCUGCAAAACCUCUAGGCACCUGUUUCCGUCACGAGCGCCAUGUCUUGCGCCGCUGACUGUGACGCUCAGUUCGCGUCGCGUUUCUCCAGCGGUACCGGACGCGCCGCCCGUGCUCGAGGACUGGAGAGCGCGCAGAGACCGGCGAGCUCCGGAGCACCGGCAGCACGAGCAUCGCUUCCCUGAGCGCCGCCAGGACCGGAACUCCGGCGCUUACAGCCAGCGAUCACGAUUCUGACACAGAACCAGACCUCCAGCGAUGCCUGCCGGAUCACUUCUGAUCUAGUGGAGUUACACUGGCUUCUGUGUAAAUAAAGCAGUUCAAAUGA